rnacentral:rRNA from 1 species
GAUCAUGGCUCGGGAUGAACGCUAGCGACAGGCUUAACACAUGCAAGUCGAGGGGCAGCACAGGUAGCAAUACCGGGUGGCGACCGGCGCACGGGUGAGUAACGCGUAUGCAACUUGCCUAUCAGAGGGGGAUAACCCGGCGAAAGUCGGACUAAUACCGCAUGAAGCAGGGGCCCCGCAUGGGGAUAUUUGCUAAAGAUUCAUCGCUGAUAGAUAGGCAUGCGUUCCA